rnacentral:rRNA from 1 species
GACAGAGGAGGCAAGCGUUGUUCGGAAUUACUGGGCGUAAAGGGCGCGUAGGCGGUCCGCUAAGUUCGGCGUGAAAUCCCCUGGCUCAACUGGGGAACGGCGCUGGAUACUGGCGGACUCGAGUACCGGAGAGGAGAGUGGAAUUCCUGGUGUAGCGGUGAAAUGCGUAGAUAUCAGGAGGAACACCGGUGGCGAAGGCGGCUCUCUGGACGGAUACUGACGCUGAGGCGCGAAAGCGUGGGGAUCAAACAGG